UGCAUCGAUGAAGAACGCAGCGAAAUGCGAUACGUAGUGUGAAUUGCAGAAUUCCGCGAAUCAUCGAGUCUUUGAACGCAAGUUGCGCCCGAGGCUUGUCCAAGGGCAUUUCCGCUAGAGCGUCACCGCGCCCCCCCACCGAUCCGCUCCCGCGUGGACUGGAGUCGAGUGGAAGUGGCCGUCCCCGGUCUUGGCCCUCGCGCCGAGUGAAGGGUCGGCUGAAAUGGAAGGAAUCGGGCCGCCGUGGCGUGACCCAGUCCGCGAUCGGGUGAUUUGUUCGGCGAGCCGCCUCCCUUGGUUGGAGGGGAGGGGAGCCGUCCAUUUUUCUAAGUGCGUGGCUGCGUCCCCCAGUUGGCUUUCACCUCGUGCAGGUCUCGCGCGCCCCCGCGGCGCGCGCCGUCACGCACCAGACCUCUAAUCGGAAAAGACUACCCGCUGAGUUUAAGCAUAUCAAUAAGCGGAGGA
rnacentral:rRNA from 1 species